CUGAGGUCCCCCUGUUCUUUGAGUCUGAAAUUCUAGCAUCCUUGCUUGGGAGGAAAUUUAUCAACUGCAGUGUUUUUCAUUUUCCAUCUGAAUUUGGAAUUCAGAGUCCAGCCUCUCCCGUCUUCCCAUCCUGAACACGGUUGUGCUUAGUGUGAUCCCUCUGCUCUCUUUUAGAAGUUAUUCAUACCCCCUCUCUCCCCACAUCCCAGGGCUACCACCCCGAUGCCCCAUGAGGUGGAGAUUGCGCACACCAAGAAGCUGUUCCGGAGGAGGAGAAACGACCGAAGACGGCAGCAGAGACCUCCAGGAGGAAACAAGCCCCAGCAGCACAGUGACCACCAGCCAGGCAGUGCCAAACACAACAGGGACCAUCAGAAGUCCUACCAAGGGGGCCCAGUGCCUCAUGCCUCAGGGAGGCCUACCCACCACGGCUACAGCCAGAACCGGCGCUGGCACCACAGCAAUAUGAAGCACCCACCAGGCGACAAAGGGGAGGCAGGUGCCCACCGCAAUGCCAAAGAGACCAUGACCAGCGAGAGCCCCAAACUUGACACCCUAGGGGACACUGGGCACAGUGGCCUUGAACCCCCCUCGCAGCCCUGAUGCCCCAGUCCCACCAGCAUCCGAGAGGCUACCCACGCCAGUGCCAGGGGGACCAGAGGCUGAGACAAAGCGUAAAGACAGUAUUAUUCCCGGCGCGCACGGGGAGCGGCCCAGAAUUACCCUGCUCCAGUCCUCCAAAGACAGGCUUCGCCGAAGGCUAAAAGAAAAGGAUGAAGUGAUGGUGGAGACAACCAACCCUCAGCAGAACAAGAUGGACAAGUUGAUAGAGAUCUUGAACAGCAUGCGAAACAACAGCAGCGAUGUGGAUGCGAAGCUCACCACCUUCAUGGAGGAGGCCCAGAACUCUACCAACUCCGAGAGAGAUGCUGGGCGAGAUCGUGCGGACCAUCUACCAGAAGGCCGUGUCAGACCGUAGCUUUGCCUUCACUGCUGCCAAGCUCUGUGACAAAAUGGCACUCUUCAUGGUGGAGGGGACCAAGUUCGGAGCCUGCUGCUCAACAUGCUCCAGCUUCUGCAGUCUCAGGAUGUGAAGGAAGAUGCUGUCCUUUGCUGCUCUAUGGAGCUACAGAGCACAGGGCGACUGCUGGAAGAGCAGCUGCCCGAGAUGAUGACGGAGCUUCUAGCCAGUGCUCGAGAUAAGAUGCUGUGCCCCACAGAGUCCAUGCUGACCCGGUCUCUGCUCCUGGAGGUCAUCGAGCUCCAUGCCAACAGCUGGAACCCACUGACACCCCCCAUCACGCAGUACUACAACAGAACCAUCCAGAAACUGACAGCCUGACAGCCAGGGGGCCUGGCGGGCGGCCCAUGGGCAGCUGAGGCCCUGGUGCACAGGGCCAGAUGGACAGGCGGGAGGACAGGGGUGGCCCUGGUGGGAGAAAGAAAUGGGGAGGAAGGCAAGCAGAGUCGGUGGCCAGUCUGGAGCCAGCCAGGAAAGUGAUCAAAUCCCUCAGAAGAGCCCCCCUAGGCAUAAACACCCCCACCUGAGCCUGAGCAUGCGGCAGCUCCUACCAACAAGGGAAGCAUGUUUCUUUUCCAUGGUGGCCCUGGCCCUAGACCUCCCUCACUCCCACCCCUCUCCACCCCCUGCCAUCCAACUCCUCCACCUCAAGCAGAGAUCUCAUCUCUGCUGCUCCUCAGAGGCCCCUGCCCCCCUGCAGCUCUGAACACCAGCCUCCCACACCGGGGCACUGCUUGGGUCAGAAAAGACCUCAGAAGGCUGAAAAAGUGGGUCGAGACGGGCUCCCAUUGUUUCCUUCGUGCUGUCAGCCGCAGUUGCCAACUGGCAGCAGGCGACAUGUAGCAGAUGUCCGGGAGGACAAAGGCAGGCACGGUCCCCACCAGCCGCCAGUAAUUGACGGCCUUUGUCAGCCACAGUGGAGCUAGGGAGAGGCGCUUUGCUCUGCUCUUCACACCCCACCCUCCCAAGCUCAGUUCCUCCAGCCUUGCCCCCCCACACCCCGCCCAGGCCUAGGAGGCUGGCAGCCGGGAGGGGAGCUGGAGCUUGCAGCUCAGUUUGCACCCUUUUCUUUUGUUGUGUUUUAUUUUUCAAAAGUCGGUUGCUUUGAAGUCUCUUCUCUCAAUGAAAAUACCCUCGAUGUGAUCACAUAGUCAGCCCUGCAAGGACGCCCUGAUUAAUGGAAGAUCAAACCCGGCCUCCUCUGGAAAGAUUCUAGCCAUAGACAGCUUGCCAGUAGCCAAUUAGGGUAAUUGGAAACUUCUGCCCCCGCGGGGGUCCCCUGCUGGAAUUCUGUGUUCCUCCCCCCUGGCCUGCAGCGACUCUGCUCUCCAGUUUCUGUCUCUCAAAGGAUCUGGUACUUCGGCUGCUGGACUGUAUUAGACCUGGUCCUGGCCAUGGGGGUCUUGUGGCAAACAGGGCCCAGAACAAGUUUGGUAAACUAAAACCAAAGUGAAAGUCUUGUCCCAAGCUCCUAGUGGGGAGAAGGAUUCGGUGGGAGCUGCCUGGCUCCCGGGAUUUGUCUAAGUUAUUGGGCUGUGUCAUUGCCUGAGCCUUAUCCUAGACAGGAUCCAGAAGCCUGCCCCUUCCAGCUAUUGGGAAAGGGAGAAAUCAUUGAGUCAUAAGAAAGACAGUCAGGUGGGCCCCCCUGAUGGAGCUUUCCAGGCUGGAAACAAGGCUGGGGAUUCUUGGAAGGCCCUGUCUUGGGGAGCAGCCUCUUCUAUGAGGGCUAGAGAGGAAGGUGGGGUCAAGCUCUGGGAUGCUAGCAUCAGGAUCAUGACCAGUGUCCACACAGUCCAUGUCUGAAGUGUGGAGCCCAUGCUUUGAUGAGCCCCCAUGAAAUGCCAUCAGAACCCAGCAGCUUCCUGAUUUGCUCCUUUAUUGAGGUUGGUCAUACCCUAGGUCACAUUGGAAACCUUUUAUGGCCUCCUGAUCCAAAUCAGACUGGCUGGGAGGUAAAGGGUGGGUAAGGUUUCUGCUGAUUGUUUCUGGGUCUAGGAAGAAGUUCUCCAUUCAAGCCUGAUUUGCCCCCACUGAAACUGGCCUUCUAGUGCUAGGAUGGGGGCCUGUGCCAGUCCCCCCCAAAAAGCCUACUUGGGAUGAGGUAUGGGGCCACAGUUUCCCUUUAAAUAGGUCAGUGGCCUCUGCCAAGAAGCCCACACUGGCCCCUGGCUCCUGCCUUCCUCCCCUGCUCCUCCUUCCCAGGCUUUCUCAAGAUGCUCCCUUAGCUACUGCGCCUGCGCCAGCCCUUAGCCCCAGCCUGGAGCCCAGGGACACCAGAAACCCCACAGGAGGCCUUGAAGGAAGAGUGGGGCUGAUAUCAGGAUGCUCAGAGAGGGCACUAGGGAAAUCAUGCUCUCAUGGAGUCAGGCAGCCCUGGCCAGGCAGCUGCUCCCGUCAGCCUCAGAGGGCCACACCUAUGCUUAUAAGGGCCCCCUUCCUUCAGGGGUGUGUGUGUGUGUGUGUGUGUGUGUGUGUGUGUGUGUAAGCAUUUUGUGUGCAUCAGCAAAGAACAAAGCAGGGUUCCCAGAAGACAGAGGUCUGAAAGUUGGGUCUCCUAGACCUCUUGGGCUCGCAGGCAAGCUCCAUGAAGGGGACUCUCAAAGGUUGUGUGGAGGGGCUAGUGUCCCGUGUGGAAGCAAGAGGCAAUUGACACUGUGGGCACUGAGGGUCAGAUGUGCCUCCCUCCUGAUGGCCUGUUUGUUGGGGGUCUUGCCUCAGGGCCAGCCCCUGUUUGGCCAUAAAGACUAGUGUGAAGACAUGAGAUAUAAAUAUGUAUUAUAUAUAAAUAUAUUUUUAAUUAUGUGUUGUGUCACGGUGGCUCCAGACGUACACUUUGCCUAAUUUGUUCCAUUGCUUGAAAGCACUUCCUGGCCCAUCUGAAUAACACUUUUGGCUGUUUUUCUAAAUGCAGGUUGCUGCUACUUUUUCAGACAAGGAAGGAAAACAUUUUUUUUUUUUUUUUUUUAAAGAAACACAGCAAAGCCUAAAAUUUAAGAGUCUAGGGCAACUUCCCAUGGGAGACAUCUCAGACAGGAACCAGGGGGCAGAAGUAGGCGCCCCGAAGACCCCUGCCCCUUCCCUGUGCCAGAGCCCCCUCUGCUGCAAAAGAAAGACCAGCUGGAUGUUGUGUCCCACUUGGUGGCAGGCCUUGGAGCAUGGAAGAGGCAGCCUGCAGGCAUCUCACGCUCCAGUCCUCGGCCCCUUCCUGUCAGGAUGAGUUAGUUUUCCUCUCCAGCAGCCCCUUUGCCAUAGUCCUGCUCCCCACGGCCUGGUGGCUUUGCCUGAGCUCUGGUGCCCCAGUCCCAGAAGGGCUCCCAGGCUCCCCCGGAUGAGGUUGGGAGCUCCAUCGUCAUCCAUGGGGACCGUGCACCCCAGAACCCAGCUUUGUCUGUUUGUCUUUCCUUAACCAGUCUGUAAACCUUUAUAGUUUGGGGAGCGUCCUGUCCAUCUGUGUAAAUGUAAAUGUUGACCUAGUCGGUAUUUAUUCUAAUUUUUAUGUUAUUUUAUUUUCUCUGAGGGGGUGGGAUUGGGAUUGUGGGAACUGUACCACUGGUCACAGCCUGGGCAGCUUCAGAGGCUGGGCCCCAGAUGGCUGCUAAGAGGAGAAGCCCCUCUGGGGCCACACCAGACAGCCACCUCCGGGAAGCCCAGUCCCAGGCCAUUAUCUGGCAUCAGAGGCUGGCCAGUAUUCCUUGUCUCACAGUAGCUUGGACCUGCUGUGGCAUGGUGUCCCUCAGCUGUCCAGGCAGUCACUCAGUUGGGAAACCUCUGGCUAGGCCCUGAGGAUGUGGGUCAGGGAAAAGAUGACUCCCCUCUGCUCAGGAUGCUUGCAUGGAAGGGCUGGCCACCUUGCCCGAGCCAGCUAGGAGCUGGACGGCAGGACCUACCUCCCUGGAGCAGGGGUCUGGGGCUUCCCACCAAAGCUGCAACAGAAUCCUGCUCACGCCGACACCUUCCCUCCAUUGGUAUGUCCUGCUUUCCAGCUGAACCCAAACUACAAGUGGAUUUAAAAAAUAAACAAUACCAAAAACCAAAAAUGCCC
ensembl:lncRNA